rnacentral:rRNA from 1 species
ACUCAAAUGAAUUGACGGGGGCCCGCACAAGCAGCGGAGCAUGUGGCUUAAUUCGAAGCAACGCGAAGAACCUUACCAGGGCUUGACAUUUAGGUGAAGCAGUGGAAACACUGUGGCCGAAAGGAGCCUAAACAGGUGGUGCAUGGCUGUCGUCAGCUCGUGUCGUGAGAUGUUGGGUUAAGUCCCGCAACGAGCGCAACCCUUGUCGCAUGUUGCCAGCGGUUCGGCCGGGCACCCAUGCGAGACCGCCGGCGUUAAGCCGGAGGAAGGUGGGGACGACGUCAAGUCAUCAUGCCCCUUAUGUCCUGGGCUGCACACGUGCUACAAUGGCCGGCACAGAGGGCUGCUACUGCGCGAGCAGAAGCGAAUCCCUAAAGCCGGUCCCAGUUCGGAUUGGAGGCUGCAACUCGCCUCCAUGAAGUCGGAGUUGCUAGUAAUCGCGGAUCAGCACGCCGCGGUGAAUGCGUUCCCGGGCCUUGCACACACCGCCCGU